AUGAAAAAGGAUGGUAUAUCAGUAUGUUUAAAAUCUGAUUAUGUGAUAUACAAAAGAUUACUCUUGUAUAUCGCAUAAUCUAUAAAUAAUAAAGUAAUAUACAGUUUUGUAGCUGACUCCUUGGUAAAUGUUACAAAAGCAUAAAAAACAGCACUACUAGUAACUCAAAACUUAUGUAAUGUUAUUUAUUUUACAAAUAAAUAAACAAAUGUUUUUGGUGAAACAUUCCGUAACAGCUAUAACAAAAGCCCUAGCCAGGCUGAGAAUGAUUAAUUGGCAGAAAGAGGAUACAAUGGCAGGUUUUGACUUUGAAAGCCUUUACCCGUCAUUAAAACUCAAACCCACUUGUAUGGCCUUUUAUAGAUUUUUAUUACAGAACAUUCUGGAGGCUAGCAGUAAAGUGCCAUAAUUAAGAGAAAUAGCCCAUCCAAUAUGCCAUGAGUCCUUCUUUAAAUUUGAUGGACAGUUUUGCCAGCAAUGUACAGGUGUAUCUGUAAGAAGUCAAUGGCAAGGCCACUAGCAGAGAUUGUACUAAGGAGUGUAGAACCAUGAAUAAUAGCUAGUCUUCAACCAGAUAUUGCCGUGUAUCUAAGG
rnacentral:lncRNA from 1 species